GCCCCUGUAGAGCAUUGGAUAGCGCGUUGGACUUCUAAUCCAAAUAUCGUGGGUUCGAGUCCCACCUGGGAUGGCA